rnacentral:rRNA from 1 species
UACGUAGGGACCAAGCGUUGUUCGGAUUCAUUGGGCGUAAAGGGUGCGUAGGUGGCGGGGUAAGUCUGGUGUGAAAUCCUGGGGCUCAACCCCGGAACUGCACUGGAUACUGCUUUGCUAGAGUACUGGAGAGGGAACUGGAAUUUACGGUGUAGCAGUGAAAUGCGUAGAUAUCGUAAGGAAGACCAGUGGCGAAGCGGCUCACUGGCCCGGAACUGACGCUGAGGUGCGAAAGCGUGGGGAGCAAACAGG